CCCUUAGAUGUUCUGGGCUGCACGCGCGCUACACUGAAGCUAUCAACACGUUUUCCCUCCCUGAGAAGGGCGGGUAACCUUUUGAAUCAGCUUCGUGGUAGGGAUCGGGGCUUGCAAUUGUUCCCCGUGAACCAGGAAUUCCUAGUAGACGCGAGUCAUAAGCUCGCAUCGAUUAAGUCCCUGCCCUUUGUACACACCGCCCGUCGCUACUACCGAUUGAACGUUUUAGUGAGGCAUUUGGACCGACGCAUCUCAGUUUAACCGCUGGUUUGUGUUGGAAAGACUCCCAAACUUGAGCGUUUAGAGGAAGUAAAAGUCGUAACA
rnacentral:rRNA from 1 species